GAUGAACGCUGGCGGCAGGCUUAACACAUGCAAGUCGAGCGGGCGUAGCAAUACGUCAGCGGCAGACGGGUGAGUAACGCGUGGGAACGUACCUUUUGGUUCGGAACAACCCAGGGAAACUUGGGCUAAUACCGGAUAAGCCCUUACGGGGAAAGAUUUAUCGCCGAAAGAUCGGCCCGCGUCUGAUUAGCUAGUUGGUGAGGUAAUGGCUCACCAAGGCGACGAUCAGUAGCUGGUCUGAGAGGAUGAUCAGCCACAUUGGGACUGAGACACGGCCCAAACUCCUACGGGAGGCAGCAGUGGGGAAUAUUGGACAAUGGGCGCAAGCCUGAUCCAGCCAUGCCGCGUGAGUGAUGAAGGCCCUAGGGUUGUAAAGCUCUUUUGUGCGGGAAGAUAAUGACGGUACCGCAAGAAUAAGCCCCGGCUAACUUCGUGCCAGCCGCCGCCGUAAAAC
rnacentral:rRNA from 1 species